UUGCUUUGGUAGCACAUACACUGAAACUGGAACGAUACAGAGAAGAUGACCACAGCCCCUGUGCAAGGAUGACACACAAAUUUGUGAAGUGUUCCAUAUUUCU